GACGAACGCUGGCGGCGUGCUUAACACAUGCAAGUCGAACGGUAAGGCCCUUCGGGGUACACGAGUGGCGAACGGGUGAGUAACACGUGGGUGAUCUGCCCUGCACUUCGGGAUAAGCCUGGGAAACUGGGUCUAAUACCGGAUAGGACUCCUGGCUUCAUGGUUGGGGGUGGAAAGCUUUUGCGGUGUGGGAUGGGCCCGCGGCCUAUCAGCUUGUUGGUGGGGUAAUGGCCUACCAAGGCGACGACGGGUAGCCGGCCUGAGAGGGUGACCGGUCACACUGGGACUGAGAUACGGCCCAGACUCCGACGGGAGGCAGCAGUGUGGAAUAUUGCACAAUGGGCGCAAGCCUGAUGCAGCGACGCCGCGUGAGGGAUGACGGCCUUCGGGUUGUAAACCUCUUUCAGCUAUGACGAAGCGCAAGUGACGGUAGUAGCAGAAGAAGGACCGGCCAACUACGUGCCAGCAGCAGCCGCCG
rnacentral:rRNA from 1 species